rnacentral:rRNA from 1 species
GUAAAUAAUAAAGGGCGUAUGGUGGAUGCCUAGGCUCUCAGAGGCGAUGAAGGACGUGAUAAGCUGCGAAAAGCUCCGUUUAGGUGCAAAUAACCUUUGAUGCGGAGAUCUCCGAAUGGGAUAACCCAAUAUGUUGAAGACAUAUUAUACCGUAAGGUAGGCAAACGCAGGGAACUGAAACAUCUAAGUACCUGCAGGAGAAGAAAACAAACGUGAUUCCCCCAGUAGCGGCGAGCGACCGGGGAAAAGCCCAAACCGUUAUUGUUUCGGCAUUAACGGGGUAGUAGGACUGCAAGUUUGAUGAAAUAAAUGAAAUGGAACACCUUGGAAAAUGUGAUCACAGAGGGUGAUAAUCCCGUACAUGCAAGUUUAUGAAUCAUAGCAGACUCCUGAGUAAGUCGGGACACGUGUAAUCCUGACCGAAUCCGCCGGGACCAUCCGGCAAGGCUAAAUACUCCCGAGAGACCGAUAGUGAACCAGUACCGUGAGGGAAAGGUGAAAAGCACUUCGAACAGAAGAGUGAAAUAGUCCCUGAACCCAUACGCCUACAAGCUGUCGGAGCCGCUUCGUGCGGUGACGGCGUGCCUUUUGCAUAAUGAGCCUACGAGUUACUCAUCACCAGCGAGGUUAAGUACUUCAGGUACGUAAGCCGAAGCGAAAGCGAGUCUGAAUAGGGCGUCAAGUUGGUGGUGGUAGACGCGAAACCUUAGUGAUCUACCCAUGGGCAGGGUGAAGGUUUGGUAACACAAACUGGAGGCCCGAACCGGUAAACGUUGAAAAGUUUUCGGAUGACCUGUGGGUAGGGGUGAAAGGCCAAUCAAACUGGGAAAUAGCUCGUACUCUCCGAAAUGCAUUUAGGUGCAGCCUCUGUUGUUUUGUUCUAGAGGUAGAGCUACUGAUUGGAUGCGAGGGCUUCACCGCCUAUCAAAUCCGGCCAAACUCCGAAUGCUAGAACAUGAAGACAGGGAGUGAGCCAGCGGGUGCUAAGGUCCGUUGACGAAAGAGGGAGAACUCAGACCAUCAGCUAAGGUCCCCAAUUAUAUGCUAAGUUGGAAUAAAAACGGGGUGGGACUGCUUAGACAGCUAGGAUGUUGGCUUGGAAGCAGCCAUUCAUUUAAAGAGUGCGUAACAGCUCACUAGUCGAGCGGUCCUGCAUGGAUAAUACGCGGGCAUAAGCAUAUAACCGAAGCUAUGGGAUUGUAUAUGAUACAAUCGGUAGGAGAGCAUUCCAUUCAGCAUAGAAGCAGUACCGUGAGGUAUUGUGGAGCGGAUGGAAAAGCAAAUGUAGGCAUAAGUAACGAUAAUGCGGGUGAGAACCCCGCACGCCGAAAGAUCAAGGAUUCCCCGGCAAUGUCAAUCAUCCGGGGGUAAGUCGGAUCCUAAGGGUAAGCCGAGUGGCGAUCCCGAUGGUAAACAGGUUAAUAUUCCUGUACUGAUCAUAACUGCGAUGCAGCGACGCAGAGGUGACACUGCUGCGUACUGACGGAAUAGUACGUUGAAACCCGUAUUCUUUGAUACCGGUAGUGAAGCACGCCGGUAGAGAUGAAAGGUGAUAGUACCGCAAUGCUUCGGUUGCGCGGAUAAUGCAGGUAAGCUGACUGCCAAGAAAACCUGCUAAGCUUCAGGUAAUGAUCAUCCGUACUGUAAACGGACACACGUGAUCAGGUAGAAAAUACUAAGGCGCUCGAGAGAUUCAUGGUUAAGGAACUAGGCAAAAUGGUCCUGUAACUUCGGGAUAAAGGACGCUCUUGUGAAAGAGCCGCAGAUAAUAGGCCCAGGCGACUGUUUACCAAAAACACAUGGCUAUGCUAAUUCGCAAGAAGAUGUAUAUGGCCUGACACCUGCCCGGUGCCGGAAGGUUAAGAGGAGAGCUCAGAGGUAACUCGAAGGUUUGAAUUGAAGCCCCGGUAAACGGCGGCCGUAACUAUAACGGUCCUAAGGUAGCGAAAUUCCUUGUCGGGUAAGUUCCGACCUGCACGAAUGGUGUAACGAUCUGGG